AUUGAACGCUGGCGGCAGGCCUAACACAUGCAAGUCGAGCGGUAACAGAAAGUAGCUUGCUACUUUGCUGACGAGCGGCGGACGGGUGAGUAAUGCUUGGGAACAUGCCUUGAGGUGGGGGACAACAGUUGGAAACGACUGCUAAUACCGCAUAAUGUCUACGGACCAAAGGGGGCUUCGGCUCUCGCCUUUAGAUUGGCCCAAGUGGGAUUAGYUAGUUGGUGAGGUAAUGGCUCACCAAGGCGACGAUCCCUAGCUGGUUUGAGAGGAUGAUCAGCCACACUGGGACUGAGACACGGCCCAGACUCCUACGGGAGGCAGCAGUGGGGAAUAUUGCACAAUGGGCGCAAGCCUGAUGCAGCCAUGCCGCGUGUGUGAAGAAGGCCUUCGGGUUGUAAAGCACUUUCAGUCAGGAGGAAAGGUUAG
rnacentral:rRNA from 1 species